rnacentral:rRNA from 1 species
UACGUAGGGUGCGAGCGUUAAUCGGAAUUACUGGGCGUAAAGCGUGCGCAGGCGGUGAUGUAAGACCGAUGUGAAAUCCCCGGGCUUAACCUGGGAACUGCAUUGGUGACUGCAUUGCUGGAGUAUGGCAGAGGGGGGUAGAAUUCCAUGUGUAGCAGUGAAAUGCGUAGAUAUGUGGAGGAAUACCGAUGGCGAAGGCAGCCCCCUGGGAUAACACUGACGCUCAUGCACGAAAGCCAGGGGAGCAAACGGG